rnacentral:rRNA from 1 species
GACACAUGUCAUUUAUUUGAAAGGGGCAAUUGCUCCACUACAAGAUGGACCUGCGUUGUAUUAGCUAGUAGGUGAGGUAACGGCUCACCUAGGCGACGAUACAUAGCCGACCUGAGAGGGUGAUCGGCCACACUGGGACUGAGACACGGCCCAGACUCCUACGGGAGGCAGCAGUAGGGAAUCUUCGGCAAUGGGGGCAACCCUGACCGAGCAACGCCGCGCGAGUGAAGAAGGUUUUCGGAUCGUAAAGCUCUGUUGUAAGUCAAGAACGAGUGUGAGAGUGGAAAGUUCACACUGUGACGGUAGCUUACCAGAAAGGGACGGCUAACUACGUGCCAGCAGCCGCGGUAAUACGUAGGUCCCGAGCGUUGUCCGGAUUUAUUGGGCGUAAAGCGAGCGCAGGCGGUUUGAUAAGUCUGAAGUUAAAGGCUGUGGCUCAACCAUAGUUCGCUUUGGAAACUGUCAAACUUGAGUGCAGAAGGGGAGAGUGGAAUUCCAUGUGUAGCGGUGAAAUGCGCAGAUAUAUGGAGGAACACCGGUGGCGAAAGCGGCUCUCUGGUCUGUAACUGACGCUGAGGCUCGAAAGCGUGGGGAGCGAACAGGAUUAGAUACCCUGGUAGUCCACGCCGUA